UACGGAGGAUCCAAGCGUUAUCCGGAAUCAUUGGGUUUAAAGGGUCCGUAGGCGGUUUGGUAAGUCAGUGGUGAAAGCCCAUCGCUCAACGAUGGAAAGGCCAUUGAUACUGCCAGACUUGAAUUACUGGGAAGUAACUAGAAUAUGUAGUGUAGCGGUGAAAUGCUUAGAUAUUACAUGGAAUACCAAUUGCGAAGGCAGGUUACUACCGGUGGAUUGACGCUGAUGGACGAAAGCGUGGGGAGCGAACAGG
rnacentral:rRNA from 1 species